GGGAACUGUGGUUUGUCAACGAUCAGCUGUGAUUAUCUGGCAGCAGCGCUGAAGUCCAACCCCUCCCAUCUGAGAGAGCUGGACCUGAGUAAUGACUACCUGUCCUUGACUAGGAACAACAACCUGCAGGAUUCAGGAGUGAAGCAGCUGUGUGGUUUUCUGGAGAGUCCAGGAUGUGGACUUGAAACUCUGAGAUUGUGGGACUGUGGUUUGUCAGAGAUCAGCUGUGAUUAUCUGGCAGCAGCACUGAAGUCCAACCCCUCCCACCUGAGAGAGCUGGACCUGAGC